GAUUUUGGAUCCGACUGAGUGGCGAACUGGUGAGUAACACGUGGGUAACCUGCCCAGAAGAAGGGGAUAACACCUGGAAACAGAUGCUAAUACCGUAUAACAACAAGAACCACAUGGUUCUUGUUUGAAAGCUGGCCUUUGUGCUAGUGCUUCUGGAUGGACCCGCGGCGUAUUAGCUAGUUGGUGAGAUAAUAGCUCACCAAGGCAAUGAUACGUAGCAGACCUGAGAGGGUAAUCUGCCACAAUGGGACUGAGACACGGCCCAUACUCCUACGGGAGGCAGCAGUAGGGAAUCUUCCACAAUGGACGAAAGUCUGAUGGAGCAACGCCGCGUGAGUGAAGAAGGGUUUCGGCUCGUAAAACUCUGUUGUUAGAGAAGAACAGCCGUGAGAGCAACUGCUCACGGUAUGACGGUAUCUAACCAGAAAGUCACGGCUAACUACGUGCCAGCAGCCGCGGUAAUACGUAGGUGGCAAACGUUGUCCGGAUUUAUUGGGCGUAAAGGGAGCGCAGGCGGUUUAUUAAGUCUGAUGUGAAAGCCUUCGGCUUAACCGGAGAAGUGCAUCGGAAACUGAUAAACUUGAGUGCAGAAAAGGAUAGUGGAACUUCAUGUGUAGCGGUGAAAUGCGUAGAUAUAUGAAGGAACACCAGUGGCGAAGGCGGCUAUCUGGUCUGUAACUGACGCUGAGGCUCGAAAGCAUGGGUAGCAAACAGGAUUAGAUACCCUGGUAGUCCAUGCCGUAAACGAUGAAUGCUAGGUGUUGGAAGGU
rnacentral:rRNA from 2 species